CCUGCGGAAGUUCGGGUAGGGCUUCCCUCGAUCGGGGCCGUCUGUGGGGGCGACUUCUUCCGUUCCAGACGCAUUUGUCUCUCGUCCGAAGGACGCUGCAGCCGGUUUGGAAGUGCAAGCGCGACGGCCUGAAGGUGGGGAAAUGGCAGGUGGCCGGCGGCUCGCCUCGUGCGGGUUGUCGGUUGUUAGCCGUCCCCUCAGUGGCACGUCUCCAGACCGUGGUGUCGCGAGUCCCUUUUGGGACUCCUCGUCUCCUACCCUGAGUCGCGGGACUGGGGGCUGCAAGGGUCUUUUGUUCUUGCCGUCGCACUCUUACGGAGUGGGCGGUGAGGCACGAGGCCCCGAUGGUAGCCUCGGACCUGCGGGGGACCGGGGGCUGGCAGCGAGUAGGUCGGUCACCCACCCGACCCGUCUUGAAACACGGACCAAGGAGUCUAACAUGUGCGCGAGUCAAUGGGUCUUGACUAGGCCCAGGGGCGCAAUGAAAGCGAAGGACUGCCCAGCGCAGUCUGAGUGGGGAUCCCUCCUCCUCGUGGGGGGGGCGCACCCACGACCCGUCCUCUCCGGCUCGCCGGUUGGGCGGAGUUUGAGCGUACACGUUGGGACCCGAAAGAUGGUGAACUAUGCCCGGACAGGACGAG
rnacentral:rRNA from 1 species